GAAAAGCGAAUAGAGGCCAAUUAAACUAUGCUGAAGAAUGAAUUAUUAAGACUCGUUGGUCUGCACAAACCUACUACUCCAACGGAUGUCUUCGAUUAUAUAGUCUACGAAAAGGGUCAUACCGUCAUAAGACUACCCCCGUACCACUGCCAGUAUAAUCUGAUCGAGCUUAUCUGGCCCAGCAUGGAGCAUUAAAUCAAAGGUUACGCUGACACAACACAAUAUCACCAUUCACGGCAAAUAAAAUGUUGCAGUCAUUAAAAAGUGCGGUCGAAUAUGUAUCUACAGAAGAUUUGAAGAAGUGGAAGAAGGUGGUAACGAAACGCAGAAAAGUAAUGAAAGAAGAUUGGGAGCGGAUCGUCCGAUUUGAUAAUAUUUGCGAUCAAGAGCUUAUAAUAAAUUUACAAGAUUGUUUUAGCGAUGCAGAAACUGAUUCAGAAAUAUAUUUGUG